rnacentral:rRNA from 1 species
UACGAAGGGGGCUAGCGUUGCUCGGAAUUACUGGGCGUAAAGGGCGCGUAGGCGGGUCGUUUAGUUAGAGGUGAAAGCCCAGGGCUCAACCCUGGAAUUGCCUUUAAUACUGGCGGCCUUGAGUAUGGCAGAGGUGUGUGGAACUCCGAGUGUAGAGGUGAAAUUCGUAGAUAUUCGGAGGAACACCAGUGGCGAAGGCGACACACUGGGCCAUUACUGACGCUGAGGCGCGAAAGCGUGGGGAGCAAACAGG